UUAGUAUCAUUAUUAUUACAGCACAGAGGUAAUGGUCAAGUAUUUUUCUCGAGCUGGGCUCUAAGACCUUUACUCGCGAUUAGUUCUUUACGCUACCUGUCCGCUCAGUUUGGCUCGUUGCAUACUAAUGUAGUGAUUUUCACAAAUAUAAUUUUUUUUUACUAAACCAAAGGUGCUACGUUGAACGUUGUAUUACGUGAUUUGUGUGUGUUCUUUUUUCCUUCAAAAGAAAAAACCUCAAGCUGGAUCAAGCAUAAUCGAUAAUAAAAGCGCCGCGAUUCUUAAGCUUAGAAGUGGUGGAAGCCUGAUCGGACUGUACCUCGACUUAGAAGACGUUGAUGAGGUCUAUAUGAAAGAUGGGUCAGGGUCAUGCACAAUGCAACCGUGUACACACAACAGCAAAACUUCCUAAUACCAGGUCGAGGUGCGAAGAAGCAAUAGCUUUCUUUUAUUAUAUGUACAAUGUUCUUGUAGCAAAAACAUGCAUGCAUUACAUAUAUGUAUUUUUUAUAAUUUAGGUAUUUCAAGAUUUUUAUUAUUUAAAAAAUGUUAAAAAUAUUAAAGAAUAUUUUAUGUAAAUAAAUCCGUCUCUCUCAAAAA